CUUUCCCACAGGCCGCCGGCUUCUGGAGGCGCAGAUGGAUCGUGUGUCCAGCAGGUGGCGCCGCGGCCCGACUCGGGCGCCCCAGCAGAACCAGCCUGCCAGUUGAGUCUGUGCCAGGCUGGAGAGCGGGGCGCGGGCAGUAGGUACCUGAAGCGAGGCUCGGCCGGAGGCUUCGGGCAGAGAUGUGCUGCUGUCAGUCGGGCAGGCCAGCUUUAGCGGCUCAGCCCUGCAGGUCACUUCCAGUUAUGGGACUUCCGCCCACUGGCUUUGACUCUUGGGUCUGAAGAAGGCACCAGCCCCUGCUAAAUUCUGAGCAUUGACACCAGUGGAAGCCUCAUCCUCAGACUUGGAAGAAG
rnacentral:lncRNA from 1 species